AAAAAAUCCAGAAAAAUGCCCAAAAAAUUCCAAAAUUCCCAGAAAAAUUCCUGGAAAAUUCCGGAAUUCCCGGGAAAAAAUCCCGGAAAAAAUCCCGGGUUUUUUCGGUGGGAUUUUGGGUGGAAUUUUUGGGAUUUUGGGAGGGAUUUGGGGGAUUUUUUUUGUGGGAAUUUUGGGUUUUUUUGGGUGGGAUUUGGGAUUUUUUUUGUGGGAAUUUUGGGGUUUUUUGGGUGAGAUUUUGGGGAUUUUUGGGCAGAAUUUUGGGGUUUUUUGGGUGGGAUUUUGGAGAUUUUUGGGGCAGAAUUUUGGGGUUUUUGGGAUGGGAUUUUGAGGAUUUUUGGGCAGAAUUUUGGGGUUUUUUUGGGAGGAAUUUGGGGGAUUUUUGGGAGGGAUUUUGAGGAUUUUGGGGCAGAAUUUUGGGGGUUUUUGGGAGGGAUUUUGGGGAUUUUUAGGCAGAAUUUUGGCGUUUUUGGGGUGAGAUUUUGAGGAUUUUUGGGUGGGAUUUUGGGGAUUUUUGGGACAGAAUUUUGGGGUUUUUUGGGAGGGAUUUGGGAUUUUUUUGGGAGGGAUUUUGGGGAUUUUUUGGCAGAAUUUUGGGUUUUUUGGAAGGGAUUUUGGGGUUUUUUGGGGAGGAAUUUUGGGAUUUUUGGAGCAGAAUUUUGGGAAUUUUGGGUGGGAUUUUGAGGAUUUUUGGAGCAGAAUUUUGGGGUUUUUUGGGGGAGAUUUGGGGUUUUGGGGGCAGAAUUUUGGGGUUUUUUGGAAGGGAUUUUGGGUGGAAUUUUUGGGAUUUUGGGAGGGAUUUGGGGGAUUUUUUUUGUGGGAAUUUUGGGGUUUUUUGGGUGGGAUUUUGGGAUUUUUGGGCAGAAUUUUGGGAAUUUUGGGAGGGAUUUGGGGGAUUUUUGGGGCAGAAUUUGGGAUUUUUUUGGGAGGGAUUUUGGGGAUUUUUGGGGCAGAAUUUUGGGGUUUUUUGGCUGGGAUUUGGGAUUUUUUUGGGAAGGAUUUUGGGGGGAUUUUGGGGAGGGAUUUUGGGAUUUUUGGGGCAGAAUUUUGGGGUUUUUUGGGAGGGAUUUUGGGGAUUUUUAGGCAGAAU
rnacentral:lncRNA from 1 species